AUGACCAGGCCCAAACCGACCAGCCCAGAGCAUGGAUCCCGCGGUCUCUGGGAGUGCAGGAGUUCUCAUGUUCUUCUUGAAUAUAUCGCUGCUGGUGAAACACAAUACACCACAGUAAUACUGACUGUUGGAGAUUUUGAGAAAAGAAUCCCAGGGGAAGAAAUGCUGAAAAUGCACACAAGAAAAUCUUUAUCAAGGACAUAAGGCAGUGAAGGCAAAUGAGCAGCUGACAUCUCAAAUGACUAAUCUUCCCUCUUUCUUCAGGAAAUUGUGCUAAAGGAGGUGCAGAGUGAAGCCAGGGGAUAUGGAUGUUCUCCUAACCCAUCCAAGUUUCAUGUCAGAAUCAUCUAAACAGCCAAAACUUUUGCAUCAAGUUGUAGAACAACUGGAAAAUUCCACUUUGUCACAGAUAUGCUGUCUAAAGAUGAAACCAAAUUCAUGAGCUCAAAGGUAGCAGCUGGAGAAGGGGAAGAGCUGAAGUGGCCAUGGUGAAAUGACAAGCACCAUGUUCAAAAUAGUCUUUAAUGUGUAGAAGAUGGAGAGGGUCUAAUCUAAAGGACUGUGACAAUCCUGGUAAAAAAUCAUUCACUAUAAAAGCCUCAAUGUAAUGCAGCCAGUUCUAAAAUCUUGGCUUACUGGCCCAACUGAAAAGAACUSCCUCAAGUUGUGAUUUAUUUGUAUGGUGUGUGUGGAUCUUAGUGCUAUUGAGCAAAGACAUUUCUGUUCCUAGACUACUGUCAGCACACUUUUUUUUUUUCUGUUAMGAUAUUGCUAGAGACAGCAGUGACAUUAGAUUAGGUUCCCCAAAAUCUUUGCUAGUUUCAUCUUUAAAGAGAUAAAAACACCGACAGUUCAGCACUCACUUUUACAGACCCACCAGAUUUCCCAGGACAGUUGCAUCAAUAGAGUAGGAAUGACUCCUGUAGGAAUAGUUCAUCUCAUUUUUGCCCAUCCGUUUGAAUGUGAAUAUUGUAUUGAUUUAAAGCUAAAUACACAUCUGUGAGCUAAAGCAGAGACACUCGGCAUCCCAGU
rnacentral:lncRNA from 1 species